rnacentral:rRNA from 1 species
AGCAGCCGCGGUAAUUCCAGCUCCAAUAGCGUAUAUUAAAGUUGUUGCAGUUAAAAAGCUCGUAGUUGAAUUUCGGGGUUAGUAGGUUGGUCAUGCUUCUGGUAUGUACUGGUCUCACUGAUUCCUCCUUCCUGAUGAACCUUAAUGCCAUUAAUUUGGUGUUUUGGGGAAUUUGGACUGUUACUUUGAAAAAAUUAGAGUGUUUAAAGCAAGCUAACGCUUGAAUACAUUAGUAUGGAAUAAUGAAAUAGGACGUUCGAUCCUAUUUUGUUGGUUUCUAGGAUUGACGUAAUGAUUAAUAGGGAUAGUUGGGGGCAUUAGUAUUCAAUUGUCAGAGGUGAAAUUCUUGGAUUUAUUGAAGACUAACUACUGCGAAAGCAUUUGCCAAGGAUGUUUUCAUUAAUCAAGAACGAAAGUUAGGGGAUCGAAGACGAUCAGAUACCGUCGUAGUCUUAACCAUAAGCUAUGCCGACUAGGGAUCGGAUGAUGUUAAUUUUUUAAUGACUCAU